UCACGCGACUGUGACGAAGGAGCGGAAAGAAUCUGUAAUGAAGGAGCUGAAAGAAUCUGUGAUGAAAGAGCUGAAGAAUCUGCGAAGAAAGAGAUGGAAUUUCUGUUUAAUCCGAAUGCUAGAGAGAUAGCGGUUGAAGUUGCAUAGAAAAAUCUCAAGCUUCAGGAGAUGGAAUCUCUCCUGAAAGAUAAAAAAAAAGAAAUUGAAGCUGUUAAGAGCGUGCAUGAGCUGAAGCUUAAGCUUCUAGAGAAGGAGGUGAAGUUUAAGGAGAUCAUAGAGGAAAAGGAAAGAGAACUUACAGUUGCAAUAGUGGAAGGUUAAUGAGAGAACAUUUGAAAUCUCUAUGGAAGAGAAAGACCUGCAAGUUAGGGAGAUGAAAGAAGAGCUGAACAAAAUCUUGUUUAAUAAGAAAAUGGAGAGUGGGGGUAAGCAAGCUGUGUCAAUGGUUGAAAAUAAAACCAGCUUUCUGAAAAUGAAGAACUAAGCCUUUUUAAACAGGCUAAUGGUGCUGUUUUACUUUCAGGAUCACAAAUGCCAUUAUAUGGCCUAUUAAUGGGGGUUUGAGUUUUGUAUUACCCUUUCAAGACUCCAGCAGUAGUAAGCUGGUCUUGGGGGUAAUUACUUGUUUGUUUAGUGGAUUUUUGCUUGGCAUUAUCCCUCCAUUUUGCAAUGCCUUUAAAAGUGUCAAAAGAUUUGUCAAGUUGAAGAAUGUCCUGCUACAAAAAAAUGCACAACUCAGAUAAACCCUCUCUUAAACUUAAAAAUUUUCUUAUCCUAGCCCUUCAUCAACUAACCUCCAAAGUUUCUGGAUGUCACAAUUCCACUCUCAGCAAAACCCGCAGUGAUGCAGCCACUUAACAACAGAUGUUUACCAUUAAAGUUUCAGCCAAUAGCUACAUUGUUGUGACAGACUAUAUUGAAGUUACAAGCUAAAUAGUCUUGGAUUAGGCUAUUUUGUAAAGGAAAAGUAUGAAUAGAGACUAGAAGAUGGAAGCGGAUGCAACCUAAGUUGCUUUCUUGUUUCCUAGUUGUCCAUGUGAAGUUUUAUCCUAACUUUUCAUUGAGAGUACAAGUGCUAAGUUGUCCAACUAAGUGCUAGACUGCCAUCCAACCUUAUUCAUUGAUAGCAAUUGGUAUAAUCAAACCUCUCAUCGGACUCUUCCAUGAACUCAUUUGCUUCUGAUGCCUCCGCUUCGGGUUCUGCCGCCGGGUCGGACUAUGUCUUCAAUGUGAAUGCAAUGCCCAGAAUUGCUCCCACAUAUGCUGCAGCUUUUGAAACAGCAAUGUCUGAGGUAGCGGACAAUGAGGAAGCAUUAAAGGGUUUUUCAUCACAUUUUUAUGUCAUGCUUAUCCUGCAUUGAUGCAGUGCUGCGGUUUUCUCAAUUGCUAUUCCGGUCAUGACCAUUUUGAUGCGUUCCAAGUUCUCUGUUGAUUUCUCUUCAGCAGCCAACUUAGCGUUUUCCACUAGGUUUAGCAUUUGGGCUUGAAGUUUUUGGUGGUGUUCUUCUGAUUCACGUGCCAAAACUAUAUUUGCUUGGGAGUCUAUGAUUCCAAAUGGAUUUUAGUGGCAGAAUGAGAAUUGUUGUUGUGUAGAACUCUAAAUUGUUGCCUCACAGGACAGGACAUAGACUAGGUUUUUGGUUCCUUACAAGUUGUAAUCAUCAUAGUUAAUUAUGCUUGAGAUUCUUAAUUUUGAAGCUGAAUUGGUGACUUGUGUUGAUGGGAGGACAGUUUAAAGGAAGGGGUUUUACAAUGAAAAGAAGUGCUGAAGAAAUCCAUCUGGAGAUUCCCUUGAAUUUUUGUGAGGAACGAACACUCUUAGAGCUUGUAUACCUAAGAUGUAGGAACUGUAAAAUCUGAGACCUACUAUCAUAUCCUGAGUAUGUUGUGAUGGUUUAGAAUCUGAUUAAACAUUGAAGGUUGCUUGAGUUACAAGGGAGCAUUUGAUGUUGAUUUUGAUACCAUCUUUAUGAAUUUUCAGUUAUAUUGUUACUUGGAAUCUCGUUAUAUAGAUUUAUUUUGGCUGUUCAUUUAAUUUAACAUUUUGGCAUCUACUUUGAAAGCUCUUAGAGAAGUGUAUCAGCCACUUGUGAAUUUGAGUCUUGAGAUCAUAAUUACUUUUUAUAAUCAUUGCAUCUGAGGAGCAAGAAUAAUUAAUAGGGUUCACUGCUUAGUUAGGCUGAUUAGGAUUAUAUAUUUUGAUCAAGAAUGUUAUGAUAGGCUUUGAAACAGGAAUUUGAUGUUAGGAGACAAGACUUUACGGUGACAGACAUGUCUUGUUUUAUGAAUGGUUUUCAAAUUGCAGACAUGACAAUCGUGUGCCUGCAAGGGAUUAUUGUUUUAUAAUGGCCUAUGCUUCUGUUGAUCUGUAUACUAUAUCAUAUGACUAGGUUGCAGCUAAGUGGCUGAUGGUUAAUGCAACAUGAUAUUUUACUUCAAACAUAGAUUAAGCUCUUUGUUUCUUUUCUUGGGUAUCAUUUUUCUCUGAAUAAUUGUCGCAAGGUGGUAGCGACAUAGAUGCAUUUUAAAGUCAGUGCAACUCACUUUGAAAAUGAGGAACAGUUGCAUCAGCAUGCUGUGGAAAGUUACCUUAUACCUGAACUUUAUUCAACUUGCAAAACUCUAUGUAGAAACAUAACAAUGCUUAAGGAUUUAUAGAAGUUUAAUAUCAAAUUGGAAGGGACUGGCAACUUGAGUCCAUCAAUUGGAUAUUAUCAUUUACAUUGGUGGGGUAUAGACUGAGUGAUUAUAUUCUUAGCAUAGAUUAAUUGUUUUUUGGUUUGUGCAUACUUUAUUUACUAGUGCAUGAUAUUUGUAUUAAAUGAGUUGGCAUCCAUCUAUAAUUUGUAGAACUUUAGGCUAUAGAUUAAGGCAUAUUACUUGAAUUUAAUAGACAAAUUUGAAGCCAUUCUUUCCGUGGGCGUGUCUUCACUUAUGCAAAACCGCACAUACACACAAAAUAUUAUGUGAAGGAAUAUUAAUAUUAUUGAUUGGUCAGUUACUUACGUUUGUUGUGCAUUUAGUAUGUAGUGCUAAGUGCUAGUAGAUUUGUGAAGCCAUGCUACUUGCCUUAUAUCAUAGAUCAUGCUCUUAUUCCUUAUUCGCUUGGGCAUACACGCUAUUUGGAUUGUAUCAAAUAUCAUGCUCUUAAAUUCUUUGCUUAGAAAUUAUGAGUCUUUGGAGUGAAAGUUGCAAUAUGAGACUUGCCUUGUACUGAUGAAUAUUAUUGUUUUUUUUGCUUUUACUAGAAAUAGAGAAGACAGCUCUGAUACUUGUUAGUCUUGAUAAAGGGGUGGCAUGUUUUAGAGUUAUCCGUUACACUUGUAGUUGCUCAAGUGUUCAUUUGCAGAUGGUGGCCGUCCUUGGUUAGUGUGGCUGCUUUAUGGAAAUCUAUAAAGAAUUUUCUGAAAUUGAAAAAUAGACUGAAAUAAGCUGAAAGUGCCCAACUCCCUAGCGCAAUUAGUUGGCUUGUUUAUUAAUUGGUUGUAAAUUUCUUGCAGGGUAUCUGCUCUGUAUUACUUUGAAAAAUCUGUGAUUUUGAUGCUUAUAAUCGUGUUUCUACUGCAUCUAUGAUAUGACUGCAAAUUUGAAGAUUGGUUUAUUUUUCUAAAAAAUAUUUGCUUGAAGAUUAUAAUGUAGGUUAAAGGAUGUAUUAUGAAAUCUUUCAUGCUAGUUUUAACUCCUACCUCGCUCAUUCUUUCUGUUUGUCUCUCCUCUUCCCCACUAAUCUGUUUUUUGUUAAUUUUCAAAAAGAGACACAGGAGCACUCACUGAAUCUUUAAUCUGCACACUUGCUCUCCAAUCUUGCUCCUUUUAACUUUUUGCCACUUAAUUUGGUAGAAAAAAUAAUUUAUAGUCUUUUUUUAUUCUACUGCGUUGCUGUGUAACCAUAAAUUUUACGGCCUAGCUUCCCCUGUUUCUCAAUCUCACUGAUUGCUGUCUUUGGUUUAACCUCUUUACUAUGCUAGGCUUUCUUGUCUAUUCGUUUGAUUUCAGCUGUCUUUGAUACCAUAGGGCUAUCAUUUGGUAUUAACAUUAGAUCAGUAUUUUAUAAAUUGUGCAAUUAAAAUUUCUUAUGCUUUUCAAAGAAUGGAGACCUUAAUUUAAAAUAUUUCUAUUAGGUUCACCAUUCACCAUUGUGUGUCUGAAGCCUAUUUGACGUAGUUAGUAGUUGCUGUUUGUUAAUGCCACCAUUUGCAAAUUGUGUAAUAACAAUCUCUUAUGCUUUUCAAAGAAUGGAGAACUUGAUGCUUUUAAAAUAUUUCUAUUAGGUUCACCAUUCACCAUUGUUGUUUCUGAAGCCUAUUUGACGUGGUUAGCAGUUGUUGUUUGUUAAUGCCACCAUUUGGACAGUUAUUGUUGUUAGCACGGCCAGCAACUGCUAUAAUUAGCUCCAACACAGCCAACAUUGCAAUUGCCACUUUGAUUGCAAUUGUCAUUACAAUCAUUUUAUCAAAAUAAUUACUACUAUUUCAUAAUUUGGUUUGAAAAUACUGUUUUAUUUUAAAAUUUCUAACUAAAAUAGAUUGUACCAUUAUGAAAGAGACCUUUGACUUGUUUAUGGUAGUCUGGUGAUGUUCUUUUGUUUCUCGAGUCUAGCAGAAGUUGUUUACUUUUCUGUAUGACUUGUUUGGCUCUGCUAUCUUCCAAGAGCAUGGUAAUUGUCAAAUUUGGUCCGUGGCGAUUCUUGAUGAUUAUGGACCAGUGACCAUGGUGGUUGUCAAAUUGGCUUGGGGAGAUAAACUGCAAAAAGCUGAAGGUUGAAGUUUUUGGCGGUGCUCUUCUGAUUCAUGUGUUAGGUUUCUGUUUAUAAUUGAAUAUUUUUCUUAAAAGGUCUUAUGGAUGAGUAGUGUUUAGUGUAUUUUGGUUGGUCUAAUUCAGCUUCACAUCUUAGAUCUUACACCAAAAGCUUUGAGUUUUGGAGUAAAGGGUAGUAUAGGGUUGUUUCAAUAUCAUCUGGAGCUGAAAAUGUUUAGGAAAUUUGAUUUUUAUAUUAAAGGAACUGAUUUAAUGUC